rnacentral:rRNA from 1 species
CAGUCGCCGCGGUAAUACGUAGGGUGCAAGCGUUAUCCGGAAUUAUCGGGCGUAAAGAGCUCGUAGGCGGUUUGUCGCGUCUGCUGUGAAAACUGGAGGCUCAACCUCCAGCCUGCAGUGGGUACGGGCAGACUAGAGUGCGGUAGGGGAGAUUGGAAUUCCUGGUGUAGCGGUGGAAUGCGCAGAUAUCAGGAGGAACACCGAUGGCGGAGGCAGAUCUCUGGGCCGUAACUGACGCUGAGGAGCGAAAGCGUGGGGAGCGAACAGGAUUAGAUACCCGAGUAGUCCCUGUCUCUUAUAC